rnacentral:tRNA from 2 species
GCGGAAGUAGCUCAGUGGCUAGAGCACCGCCUUGCCAAGGCGGGGGUCGCGAGUUCGAAUCUCGUUUUCCGCUCCA